rnacentral:tmRNA from 1 species
GGGGUUGACUGGAUUUGACGGCAAGACGAGAUGGUGUGUAAGCAUGCGGAGCCACGUUCAUCCGGCUCCAUAAUCAAUGGUGGACAAAAAUUAAUUGGCGAAAACAAUUACGCUCUCGCUGCCUAACCGAAGUACAGUAAGUUACUGGCUUAAUCGCGUCACAAGGUGAUGCGACGAGACACCGCUCCGAGGAUGUUGUUCCGAAUCCGGAGAUUCAGCGGUGCAGGAUAAAUCGGAAAUAGCUCUCUGCGGCCCCGCACGGAUAGUGAAACUUUUGGGGAUAAGGCAGUAGUUGGUGGUCCAGGUCUUGCUGCUGCACGAAAACCGAAGGCUGGAAUAAGCAUGUAGAAAGCACAUGAUUUCCUUGUGCGGACGUGGGUUCGAAUCCCACCAGCUCCACA